rnacentral:rRNA from 1 species
AGAGUUUGAUCAUGGCUCAGAUUGAACGCUGGCGGCAGGCCUAACACAUGCAAGUCGAGCGGUAGCACAGAGAGCUUGCUCUCGGGUGACGAGCGGCGGACGGGUGAGUAAUGUCUGGGAAACUGCCUGAUGGAGGGGGAUAACUACUGGAAACGGUAGCUAAUACCGCAUAAUGUCGCAAGACCAAAGUGGGGGACCUUCGGGCCUCAUGCCAUCAGAUGUGCCCAGAUGGGAUUAGCUUGUAGGUGGGGUAACGGCUCACCUAGGCGACGAUCCCUAGCUGGUCUGAGAGGAUGACCAGCCACACUGGAACUGAGACACGGUCCAGACUCCUACGGGAGGCAGCAGUGGGGAAUAUUGCACAAUGGGCGCAAGCCUGAUGCAGCCAUGCCGCGUGUGUGAAGAAGGCCUUCGGGUUGUAAAGCACUUUCAGCGGGGAGGAAGGCGGUGAGGUUAAUAACCUCAUCGAUUGACGUUACCCGCAGAAGAAGCACCGGCUAACUCCGUGCCAGCAGCCGCGGUAAUACGGAGGGUGCAAGCGUUAAUCGGAAUUACUGGGCGUAAAGCGCACGCAGGCGGUCUGUCAAGUCGGAUGUGAAAUCCCCGGGCUCAACCUGGGAACUGCAUUCGAAACUGGCAGGCUAGAGUCUUGUAGAGGGGGGUAGAAUUCCAGGUGUAGCGGUGAAAUGCGUAGAGAUCUGGAGGAAUACCGGUGGCGAAGGCGGCCCCCUGGACAAAGACUGACGCUCAGGUGCGAAAGCGUGGGGAGCAAACAGGAUUAGAUACCCUGGUAGUCCACGCCGUAAACGAUGUCGAUUUGGAGGUUGUGCCCUUGAGGCGUGGCUUCCGGAGCUAACGCGUUAAAUCGACCGCCUGGGGAGUACGGCCGCAAGGUUAAAACUCAAAUGAAUUGACGGGGGCCCGCACAAGCGGUGGAGCAUGUGGUUUAAUUCGAUGCAACGCGAAGAACCUUACCUGGUCUUGACAUCCACAGAACUUACCAGAGAUGCUUUGGUGCCUUCGGGAACUGUGAGACAGGUGCUGCAUGGCUGUCGUCAGCUCGUGUUGUGAAAUGUUGGGUUAAGUCCCGCAACGAGCGCAACCCUUAUCCUUUGUUGCCAGCGGUCCGGCCGGGAACUCAAAGGAGACUGCCAGUGAUAAACUGGAGGAAGGUGGGGAUGACGUCAAGUCAUCAUGGCCCUUACGACCAGGGCUACACACGUGCUACAAUGGCAUAUACAAAGAGAAGCGACCUCGCGAGAGCAAGCGGACCUCAUAAAGUAUGUCGUAGUCCGGAUUGGAGUCUGCAACUCGACUCCAUGAAGUCGGAAUCGCUAGUAAUCGUAGAUCAGAAUGCUACGGUGAAUACGUUCCCGGGCCUUGUACACACCGCCCGUCACACCAUGGGAGUGGGUUGCAAAAGAAGUAGGUAGCUUAACCUUCGGGAGGGCGCUUACCACUUUGUGAUUCAUGACUGGGGUGAAGUCGUAACAAGGUAACCGUAGGGGAACCUGCGGUUGGAUCACCU